rnacentral:snRNA from 1 species
GCAUGUGAGGACAAUAUGGCUGUGACACCUGUCACCCUAUUGAUCACUAGGGUUGUUUCAGCUGAUCUGGCUGGCUAGGUGCAUGUCCCCUUCCUCCCUCACUGCUCCACAUACAUCCCUCCCAAAGCUGCAUGCUCAGUCAAAGAGGGUGACCUUCCCUGUUACAGGCAGUAGUAUCGGUCAUGGUCAUGCAGUAGCUGUGCUCCCCUGCUAGAACCUCCAAACAAGUAACUCCUGCUAGAACCUCCAAACAAGUAACUCCAGCAGCUCUUCAAGGACUUCCAAGAGGAAGUCCU